AAAAUUUCUUUGUUCUUCUAUUCUUUCUCAUUUUCCUGUCUUUCUCUUCAUCUUUCCCUCUUUCUUUUCUUCUUCAUUUCUUAAAUAGAAUUACAUUUAGAAAAUUUCUAUAAAUAGUAGCUAUAGCAGUAUUAAUCAUGUUUUAUAAAAGAACUUAACAUGCAUCAAAAAUUUUAAAAAUAUGUAAAUUUGACAGUGAUUAUGCUUCAAAAGAUUCUUAAUGUGAUAAUGAAAUUUCUGGCAAUAUUUAUUGCCAUGAAUUUAUGAUUUUGCUUAUGGGUUGUUAAUGAUUUAAUUGACAAUAGAUAGGAAUCAUAUCUUAGUAUUGGUUAUAUUUAGGAAUUGAGAACCGGUUAGAGUGCUCAUUCUUAUCCUGUAAGACAGUCAGCUUCGAGGUAAACAGAAUGGAAGAAGAAAGAAAAAUGGAAGCUGAGAUACAUAUGCAUCUGCAACAAUAGGGGCUCAAGGAGUGAAUAAGAUGGUCGAAAGAUGGUGAGGGUUCUUGCCAUAAGGACCAAAGUUUAAUGUUUAAAUAGCAUGAAAAAAUUGAUAGAAAAAGAACAUGGAUUUUUUUGGUUGGACUUUAAUAGCCUUGGAUAAAUGGCAAUAUUGAAGGAAAUAACUUUGGAAACAAAGUGCUGGGAAAACACCACCAAAUACAUAUGUCAGUCAUUGUUAAGUGCUUUGAUAUAUUAUUUCAGUCCCUGCAACAACCAUAUGAAGUUAAUACUAUUCUUAUUUUUAUUAGAUAAAGAUACUGUAUUUUUUUAAAGGGGGAACUUUUUAUAUAGUUGUUAAUAAAUACAUUGAAAUAAUAUCUUUAUUUCAUGCCUGUAAUCCCAACACUUUGGGAGGCCGAGGUGGGUGGAUUACAAGGUCAAGAGAUCGAGACCAUCCUAGCCAACAUGGUGAAACCCUGUCUCUACUAAAAAUACAAAAAUUAGCUGGGCGUGGUGGCGCACACCUGUAGUCCUAACUACUUGGGAGGCUGAGGCAGGAGAAUCACUUGAACAGGGAGGCGGAGGUUGCAGUGAGCCAAGAUAGUGCCACCGCACUCCAGCCAGGUUGACAGAGUGAGACUCUGUCUCAAAAAAAAAAAAAAUAGAAAAGAGUUUUGAUUUUAUUAUUCAUGCUAGUUUCCCCAGGACCAGUCCAUUAGUUUCUUCACAACAAGGCCUUAAAACUGGGCCUGUUCAGUGGUUUGGGAUGGUUCUUAGAGACAUUGUUCCAACUUCAGGUGCUAGAAAAAAAUCCAUUUUCACAAGCUCUAGACAGAAAACUAGGUAAAAGAUUUUAAUCUGGACAGGUAGCCAGUAUUGGAUAUUACAAUUUGAAUUAAUACAUGAUCUGUCAGACUGUUGGAAUACAACAGAAAAUCCAGGAAGAGAGAACAUUUAAAAAUCGAUACAGGCAGUUGGUAAUCUAUUGAAGAUCUUUUGAACCAUUUAAAGAUUUAAUCCUCAGGUUUAGAGACCAGGCUAGCGUCGCCAGAUUUAGCAAAUAAAAAUAAAGGAUUCCCAGUUAAAUUUGAAUUUCAGGUAAUCAAUAAUUUUUUAGUAUGUGUUACAGCCAAUAUUUGGGACAUUCUUAUAUCAAAAAUUUGUUGCUUAUUUGAAAUUCAAAUUUAAUUGGGCAUCCUGUAUAUUUUCUGGCAGCCUAGUCUAGACUUCCUUGGGGCAUGGAGUUUUCAAGAACAAAGUACACUCCAAUGUUAGAGCCAUUGUCAAUAUAGAUUUCAUUCACCAGAAUUAGGAUAUGGGCAAUUAGUAAGAUUAGUAAAGAUGGGCUUCUUUGCCAAAGCUCCUACAAUUGGCUUUAGACUCUGAGGAGACAUUGAGCUUGCACUUACUUAGUAGUUAAGAAAUCUCAGUUGAGGAAUUGAGGUGAUAUGAGGACUUUUAAAUUUAAAAUAUUUUUAAUCUUUUUUUUUCGAGACUGGAUCUCGCCCUGUUGCCCAGGCUGCCAUGCAGUGGCAUGAUGGCAACCUUGAACUCCUGGGCUUAAGCAAUCCUCCCACCUCAGCCUCCUGAGUAGCUGGGACUGACUGUAGGUGUGCACCACCAUGCCUGGCUAAUUUUUAAAUUUUUAGCAGACAUGAGGUCUCAUUAUGUUCCCCAGGUUGGUCUUGGACUCCUGGGCUCAAGUGAUUCCCUCACCUCAGCCUCCCAAAGUGCUGGCAUUACAGGCAUAAGCAUUGUGCUCAGUGAGAUGAAGGCUUUAGAAGCUGAGAACUGAACACAAACUGGCAAACAGGAUCAGGUAAAUGCAUAAAUUUUAAAGGAAUAUUGGGAUAUUGUUUUUUUCUAAAAUAACUUAUUAUUCUCAUUAUAAAAAUAAUAGAAUAAUUCUAGAAAAAAGGUAAAAAAUUAUCAUAGUUGCACUGAUCCAGAGUUAACCAUUUAUUUAUUUUUCAACAGAAAAAAGCCAUUUCACCUUUUUUGAGUCUUACAUCUUUAUCCAUGGGAAAAAAGUUGAACUAGAUGAUAUCUAAGGUUACUUCAAUGCUCAGUAUAUAUUGUGGAUAAAACAUACAGUUUUGAUGUAUUUAUGUAAGUUUGUGCUGUCUUGUCUAUCACCACCAAGAAAACCAUUGAUUAAGGAUUUUACAAAUACACAAAUAUAUUUAACAUGUUUGUAUGUGGUGGAAUACUUAGAAUGCCUAUUGUGCUGAUUCACCCAGUAUUGUUUUCUUAUCACACAGCAUAUAUUUCAGCCAUUCUUGUUACACAGAUCUAUUGUAAAAGUUUAAUAAUCUAAAAUGGUAUAUAACUUGUCAGUAAUUCAUAAAAGGAAGUGGCAGACCCCCAAUACCCAUAUAACUAAAUUUUUAAUCUUUUAAAUCUUCAACUUGCUCAAGAUGGCCAAAGAUAUGAGAAAUAUUUUUUGGGGGGGGUUCUUAUUUGCCUCUGGAACACUCUCUUGACACUCUCAUCCUUGUUAUAGUUCUGACUGCAGUUGAAUAUUUAUUGUACUUCUAUUAUGUUAAAAAUUUUUAAUUAGGCCCGAGUGCAGUGGCUCACACUUAUAAUCCCAGCACUUUGGGAGGCUGAGGUGGGCAGAUGGCUUGAGGUUGAGAGUUUGAGACCAGCCUGGCCAACAUGGUGAAACCCCGACUCUACCAAAAGAUAGAAAAAUUAGCCAGGCGUGGUGGCGAGUGCCUGUAAUCCCAGCUACUCGGAAGGCUGAGGCAGGAGAAUCACUGGAACCUGGGAGGUGGCAUUUGCAGUGAGCUGAAAUCCUGCCACUGCUCUCUAGCCUGGGAGACAGAGUGAGACCCUGUUUCAAAAAAAGCUGUUUUUUUUUUUUAAUUAAAACUAUAUGUAUUUAAGUUGUAUAACCUGAUAUUUUAAUAUGCAUAUACAUAGUUACCUGAUUAUUUCAGUCAAGCCAGUUAACAUAUCCAUCUCUUCAUAUAAUUACCAUUUUUUUCUUGUAGUAUGAACAUUUACUAUCUACUCUCUAAGAGAAUUUCAUCUGUAUAGCACAGUAUUAUUAACUUUAGUCCUCAUGCUAUACGUUAGAUCUCUAGAUUUUAUUCAUCCUAUAUAACUUUGUACCCUUUGACUGACAUCAUCUUAUUUCUCUCACCUCUUCACCGCUGGAAACCAUUAUUCUCCUGUCUACUUCUAUGAGUCUGAUUUGUAAAGAUCUCACAUAUAAGUAAGCAUAUACAGUAUUUUUAUUAAUAUGUCUGACUUAUUUCAAUUAGCAUACAUCCUCUAGGUUCAUCCACGUUGUCACAAAUGGCAGGAUUUUCUUCCUUUUAAUGUCUAAAUAGUAUUCUGUUAUUUCUUCAUGACAUAUUUUUUAGUCCAUUUAUCUGUCACUUAGAUUGUUUAUAUAUCUUGGAUUUUUUUUAAUUUUUUUUUUUUUGAGGUGAAGUUUCGCUCUUGUUGCCCAGGCAAUGGCGACAAGACAAUAUAAGUGCGAUGGUGUGAUCUCGGCUCACCUCAACCUCCGCCUCCCAGGUUCAAGUGAUUCUCCUAUCUCAGCCUCCUGAGUAGCUGUGAUUAUAGGCAUGUACCACUAUGCCCAACUAAUUUUGUAUUUUUAGUAGAGAUAGGGUUUCACCAUGUCGGCCAAGCUGGUCUCAAACUCCUCACCUUAGGUGAUCCACCUGCCUUGGCCUCCCAGAGUGCUGGGACAACAGGCAUAAGUCACUGUGUCUGGCCCUCUUGGCUAUUGUGAAUAAUACUGCAAUGAAUCUGAAAAUGCAGAUAUCUCUUUGAGAUACUAAUUUCAUUUUCUUUGGAUAUAUAUCCAAAAGUGGGAUUGUUAGAUUAUAUAGUAGUUCUGUUUUUAAUUUUUUUGAGGAAGUUCCAUACUGUUUUUCAUAAUGGCUAUACCAAGUUACAUUCCCACCAAGAGUGUACAAGGAUUGCCUUUCUCGACACCCUUGCUAACACUUGUUAUCUUUUGAAUUUUUGAUGACAGCUAUCCUGACAAGUGUGAAUUGAUCCUUAACUAUUGUUGUAGUUCUGAUUCACAUUUUCCUGAUUAGUGAUGUUGAGCACCUUUUUAUAUACCUUUUGGCCAUCUGUGUGUCUUCUUUAGAAAAAUGUCUAUUUAGGUUCUUUGCCCAUUUUUAAAUUGUGUUACUUGUUUUUGUUACUGAGUUCUGUGAAUUCCUUAAAUAUUUUGGAUAUUAACUCCUUAUCAGAUAUGUGGUUUGCCAAAAUUUUCUCCCAUGCUGUAGACUGUCUUUUCACUCUGUUGAUUAUUUCCUUUACUGUACAGAAGCUUUUUAGUUUGAUGUAGGUCUCACAUGUUGAUUUUUGCUUUUGUUGUGUUUUUGGUGUCAUAUUUUAAAAAGUCAUUUGCGAGAUCGAUCCAAGAUGGCCGACCACUAACAGCUCGGGAUUGUAGCUCCCAGUGAAAGCUCAGAGAACGAGACGACGCCACAUCUUUAGAUGAAUUUUCGUCACUCACCAAUCAGCCGAUUCCCAGUGGAGGAGCCCCACGGGUCGCCAGCGUGACUCUUGUGGCCGCCGCAGCGGUUUUGCCGGCGUCUGGACGCAGCAGCUCUUCAUGCAGAGCCAACUGGACUGCUUCCCCUACUGACCGGAGUUUGGAGCUCUGGGAAAUCAGAGCCGCUUGUUGCGGACUCAAGAGGGAAGCCAGACCAGAGAUUCCCGGGCAGAAGAGCACCAUCAGUCUUAUCGCUGCUAUUUAGGCCGCCACAGUGGGUUGCUCGGAUCCCAGCACUGGGAAUCAAUAACGUCGACUCAGAAACCUAAUUAGAAAGGCGGUUCAUCUACAAUGAAGGGGAAAAAACAGCCUAAGAAGGCCGAGUAUACUCAAAUCAGAACCCAUCAGAACAAGCCCUGAUGGAAAAGGACUCAUCAGCAACCGAACAAGCCCUGAUGGAAAAGGACUCAUCAGUAACGGAACAAGCCCUGAUGGAAAAGGACUGUGUUCCAUUAUCUGAAGUUGGCUUUAAAAGGUGGAUGAUAAGAAACUUCUGGGAGUUAAAGGAACUUGUUCUAACCCAAUGUAAAGAAACUAAGAACUUGGAAAAAAGGUUCGAUGAAAUGUUGAAAAGAAUAGACAAUAUAGAGAGGAAUACAAAUGAACUUAUGGAGUUGAAAAAUACAACACGAGAACUUAGUGAAAUAUGUACAGGCUUAAACAGCCAAAUGGAUCAAGCAGAAGAAAGGAUAUCAGAGGUCGAAGACCAACUUAAUGAAACAAAACGACAAGACAAGAAUAGAGAAAAAAGGAUAAAAAGGAAUGAGCAAAGUCUCCAAGCAAUAUGGGACUGUGUGAAAAGACCUAAUAUACGCUUGAUUGGUGUACCUGAAUGUGACGGAGAGAAUGAAUUCAAGCUGGAAAAUACUCUCCAGGACAUUAUCCAGGAAAAUUUUCCUAAUUUAGCAAAGCAGGACACUAUUCAACCCCAGGCAAUACAGAGAACACCACAAAGAUAUUCCUCAAGAAGACCAACCCCAAGACACAUAAUCGUUAGAUUCACCAAGAUCGAAACGAAGGAGAAAAUAAUAAGGGCAGCCAGAGAGAAAGAUCAAGUUACCCAUAAAGGUAAGCCUAUUAGGCUUACAGCAGAUCUCUCAACGGAAACCCUACAAGCUAGAAGAGAGUGGGGGCCAAUAUUCAAUAUACUUAAAGAACAGAACUUUCAGCCCAGAAUUUCAUAUCCUGCCAAUUUAAGCUUUGCAUUUGAAGGAAAAAUAAAAUCUUUUAGGAACAAGCAAGUACUCAGAGAUUUUAUUACCACCAGGCCUGCUUUACAAGAACUUCUAAAAGAAGCAUUAUACACUGAAAGGAACAACCAGUAUGACCCUUUCUAAAAAUACACCAAAAAGUAAAGAGCAUUAACAUAAAGAAGAAUUUUCAUCAACAAAAGGACAAGAUAGUCAGUUAAUAUCAAAUGGCAGCAACCCUAAAUUUAAAUCGACCAAAUCUCCCAAUCAAAAGAUACAGACAAAAUCUAACGGUAUAUCCAAAGAUAUACAUAGACUCAAAAUAAAGGGUUGGGAAAAAAAACAUACCGACCAAAUGGAGAGCAAAAAUAAAUAAAUAAAAAGCAGGAGUUGCAAUUUUUAUAUUUGACAAAAUAGAUUUCAAAGCUACAAGGAUACAAGGGUAAAAGGAUUAAUGUAAUAAUAAGAGAUCUUAACACCCAGAUACAUAAGACCCAUAAUGAGAUUUAGAUUCAACGAGACAGAAAACUGAUAACGAUAUCUGGGACUGGAACUAAGAUCCAGAACAAAUAAAAUCAAUAGAGCUCUCCAUUUUAAACACACAAAAUGUAAAUUAUCCACAAAAUCUAACGAUAUAUCUAAAGAUAUACAAAGACUCAAAACAAGGGGAUGGAAAAAAACUCACCAACCAAAUGGAGAGCAAAAAUAAAUAAAUAAAAAGCAGGAGUUGCAAUUCUCACACUUAAUAAAAUAGAUUUCAAAGCUACAAGGAUGCAAGGGUAAAAGGAUUAAUGUAACAAUAAGAGAUCUUAACACCCAGAUACAUAAGACACAUAAUGAGAUUUAGAUUCAACGAGACAACAAAUUGAUAACGAUAUCCAGGACUUGAACUCAGAGCCAGAACAAAUAAACACAAUAGGGGUCUCCAUUUUAAACACAUAAAAUAUGCAUUAACCACUUUAAACACUCAAAAUAUUGAUCGGCCAUUAUUGAAACCCAUUUUAGGAAUGAAGUAAUAUUCCUUUUUCCCUCUUUUUCUUUUCUUUUUUUUUCCCCCUUCUUUAAAAAAAAAAAAAGUAAUUUGCAAGACCCAUGUUAAGGAGUUUCUUCGCUGUUUUUUCCUAGGAGUUUUAUGAUUUCACUUCUUAUUUAAGUCUUUAAUCCAUGUUGAGUUGACUUUUGUAUAUGGUAUAAGAUAAGGGUCCAAGUCCAUUCUUCUGCUUGUAGAUACCCAGUUUUUCCAACACCGUUUAUGGCAGAGACUAUCUUUUCCCCAUUAUGUGUUCUUCUCACUUUUGUUGAAAAUCAAUUACAUCUAAAUGUGUGGGUUUAUUUCUGGGCUCUCUACUCUGUUCUGUUAGUCUAUGUGGCUGUUUUAAUACCAGUACCAUACUGUGGCAGUUACUGUAGGUUUCAGGUAUAAUUUGAAAUAAGGAAGGGUGAUGGCUGCAGCUUUGUUCUUUCUCAAGAUUGUUUUGGCUAUUCGAAGUAUUUUGUGGUUUAAUAUUUUAGGAUUUUUUUUCCAUUUCUGUGAAAAAUAUCAUUGAAAGUUUGAUAGAGAUUACAUUGAAUCUGUAGAUCAUUUUGGGUAGUUUGGACAUUUAACAAUAUUAAUUCUUCAAAUCCAUGACACAGGAUUUUUCAUUUAUUUUCUCUUCAGUGUCUUUUUUUUUUAAUCAGUGUUUUAUACUUUUUAGUGUAUAGCCCUUUCUCCAUGUUGGCUAUUUAUUCCUAGGUAUUUUAUUCUUUUUUAUGUUAUUGUGGUGGGAUCAUUCUCUUGGUUUUCUUUUGGGAUAUCUGUUAUUGAUGUAAAGAAAUGCUCCUGAUGUUUGUAUGUUAAUUUUGUAUCCUGCAACUUUACUAAAUUUGUUUUUUAGUUCUAACAGUUUUUUAAUGGAGUUUUUGGGGUUUUCUACAUACAGGAUCAUGUCAUCUGCAAACAGAGACAUUUACUUCAUCCUUUCCAAUUUGCACUCCUUUUAUUUCUUUUUCUUGGCUAAUCGAUUGGCUAAGACUUUCAAGAAAAGUUGAGAAUUCCUUACCUGAAAUGUUUGGGAUUAGAAAUGUUUUCAAUUUUUUUGGAGUUUGGAAUAUUUGCAGGAUACCUACCAGUUGAGUAUCCUAAAUCUGAAAAUUCAAAAUCUGAAAUGCCUCAAUGGGCAUUUUGAUAGAGCCUCAUGUUGUUGCUCAAAAACUUACAAAUUUUGGAGAAUUUCAAAUUUUGGAUUUUCAGAUUUAAAAUGCCCAGCCAGUAAGUAUGUUUGAAUAGAAGUGGUGAAAGUGGGCAUCCUUGCCUUGUACUGUAUCUUCGAGAAAAAACUUCCACUUUUUCCCCAUUAUGAUGUUAGCUGUGGGAAUUUUGCAAAUGACCUUUAUUGUGUUGGAGUAUGUUCCUUCUGUACUUACUGUUUUGAGAGUAAACUAAAUGGAUAUUGAACUUUGUCAGAUGCCUUUUCUGCAUCUAUUUUUAAUUCUGCUACUGUGGUGUAUAACAUUAUUGAUUUGCACAUAUUAAACCACUGUGCAUCCCAGAAAUAAAUCUCAGUUAAUCAUGGUGUGUAAUUUUUUAAGAAAAGAUUUCAACUUUCGCUUUAAAUAUGGGGGAUACACGUGCAGAUUUGUUACAUGGGAGUAUUGUUAAUGCUAAGGUUUGAAGUAUGGAAUCUGUCCCCUUACCUAUGUAGUGAGCAGAGUGCUCGUUAGGUAGUUUUUUUGAUAUGCUGUUGGAUUUGCCUUGCUAGUAUUUUAUUGAGGGGUUUUGCAUCUGUUUUUUAGUGAUAUUGGUCUGUAGUUUUCUAGCAGUGUCUUUGUUUGAUUUUGAUAUCAGAGUGAUGCUAGCCUCAUAAAACGAAUUUAGAAGUAUUCCCUCUUAUUUUAUGAAAGAAUUUAAGAAAGAUUGGUAUUAAUUUAUCUUUGAAUGUUUGAUAGAAUUCACUGUGAAGUCAUCUGGUCCUGGGCUUUUCUUUGUUGAGAGAUUUUUUUAUUACUUCUGUAACUUAUUAUUGGUCUGUUUAGGCUUUCUGCAUCUUCUUGAUUCAAUCUUGGUAGUUUGCAUGUUUCUAGGUAUUUAUCCAUUUCUUCCGUGUUAUCUAAUUUGUUGUCAUAUAAUGUUCGUAAUAGCCCCUUAUGAUCUUUUUUAUUUCUGAGAAAUCCAUUUUAUGUUUCCUCUUUCAUUUAUUUAAACCUUCUCUCUUUUUUUUUUUUUUUUUUUAGUCUAUGUAAGGGGCUGUUGACUUUAUCUUUUCAAAAAAUAAGCUCUUAGUUUUGCCUUUUUUUUUUUUUUUUUUUUGAGGCAGAGUCUCACUCUGUUGGAGGCUGGAGUGCAGUGGUACCAUCUUGGCUCACUGCAACAUCCUCCUCCCCGGUUCAAGUGAUUCUCCUGCCUCAGCCUCCAGAGUAGGUGGAAUUAUAGGCACCCACCAUCACGCCUGGCUAAUUUUUGUAUUUUUUAGUGGAGAUGAGGUUUCACCGUGUUUGCCAGGCUGGUCUCAAACUCCUGACCUCAGGUGAUCCACCUGCCUCGGCCUCCCAAAUACUAGGAUUACAGUGUGAGCCACCAUGCCCAGCCUAGUUUUACUUUGUUUUUUUUUUUCCUAUUCUCUAUUUUAUUUCUACUCUAGUUGUCUUAUUUCCUUUAUCUGCUUAUUUUGGGCUUGGUUUCUUACUCUUUUUCUAAUUCCUUUAGGUGUGAAGGUAGGAUGUUUAUUUGAGAUCUUUUUAUUUCCCCUUUGGCAUUUAUUUCUAUAAGCUUCCCUUAUCACUGCUUUUGCUUUCCCAUAAGUUUUGGUAUGUUGUGUUUUGUUUCUGUCUCAAGAUAAUUUGAAAAUUUUCUUUUUUAAUUCCCUCUUUGAUUAAUGGUUGUUCAAGAGUGUGUUGUUAUAUUUGUGAAUUUUUCCAUUUUCUAGCUGUUAUUCAUUUCUAGUUUUAUACCAUUAUAGUCAGAAAAGAUACUUGGUAUGAUUUUGAUCUUCUUAAAUUUAAGUCUGAUUUUGUGGCCUAACAUGGGAGUUAUCCUGGAGAAAGUUCCAUCUGUGCUUGAGGAGAAUGUGUAGUCUUCUGCUGUUGGGUGGCAAAUUCUAUGUAUGUCUUUUGGGUCCAUUUGAUCCAUAGUGUUAUUCAAGGUCACUGUUUAUUGAUUUUUCUGUUUAGAUGAUUUAUCUAUUAUUAAAAGUAGAGUAUUGAGCUUUCUUUCUAUUAUUAUAUUGCUGUCAAUUUUUCUUUUGGGUUUGUCAAUAUUUGCUUUAUAUACUUAGGAGCUCCAAUAUUGGAUGUGUAUAUAUUUACAAUUUUUAUAUCUUCCUAUUGAAUUUACCCAUUUUCAUUAUAUAAUGACUUUCUUUGGCUUUAGAGACAACUUUUAAUUUAAAGUCUAUUUUGUCUGACAUAAACUCAGCCACCCCUGUUUACUUUUGGUUGCCGUUUGCAUGGAAUAUCUUUUUCCAUCCCUUUAUUCUAAGCUUUUAUGUGUCUUGUGAAUCUAAACUGAGUUGAUUGUAGACAGCAUAUAGUUGGAUCUCUAAUCCAGUCAAAUCUUCUUUAUUUAGGCCUAUCUUAUUAUAUUGCACUUUAUUGCACUUCACAGAUUUGCAUUUUUUACAAGUUGAAGGUUUGUGGUAACCCUGCAUUGAGUAAGUCUAUUGGUGCUAUUUUUCCAACAGCAUGUGCUCACUUCAUGAUUCUAUGUCACAUUUUGGCAUUUCUUGCAAUAUUUCAAACUUUUUCAUUAUUAUUAUAUCUUUAUGAUUGUGAUCAGUGAUCUUUGAUAUUACUACAAAUGUGCUGUUACCAAUAGAGAGUUGUAAAGCUGAAAUAAAUAUUUCUAGACCAUGAAUAAUAAACGUAAUUUCUCUAACUGUGAGAGAGAGGAAAGACGAAACUAUUUCUGUUCUCUCUAUUGAAAAUAAAAUUACAAAAUUGCUGGGUGUGGUGGUACAUGUCUGUAGUGCCAGCUGUUCCAGAGGUUGAGGCAGGAGAAUCACUUAUGCCCAUGAGUUUGAGACUGACCUGGGCAACAUAAUGAGAUCAUGAAUCCAAAAAAUAUUAUAAAAUUAUUGUCAUAUGAAGAAGUGAUCAAGGUAGGAAAACUUCCUAUAAAGGGGUAUCAGGCAGUUCAUUUAACAAUAAUUCUAAUAAUAUAUUUUCUGAGUAUUGUGAUGUUUGUGGUGUUUAUAACUUAAAUUGUUGUAAUUUUGCUUUCUCAUUCUUUUAUACUAACUUUAUACCCAAUUAACAGUGUUUCCUAAAUUAUACAAGCUUCAGGCCUCAUAAAAUUUGAAUUUGUUCCUGCUCAGUAGUAUACCUGGACCUCUUUUGGAUUAUUUACCUAAAUAAAGGGUGGUUGUAUUGGUCGCCCUCUUGUGAUACUUGUAUUUCCAGGAAAAUUACUGAGAAUUAAGAAUUUGUGGGCUGGGAAUGGUGGCUUAUACCUGUAGUCCCAGCACUUUGGGAGGCCAAGGAGGUGGAUCAGUUGAGCCCAGGAGUUUGAGACCAGCUUGGGCAACAUGGUGAAACACUGUCUCUAUGAAAAAAUAACAAAAAUUAGCUGGGUAUAGUAGCACUCACCUGUUCCAGCUACUCAGGAGGCUGAGGCGAGAGGAUCACUUGAGCCUGGGAGAGUGAAGCUAGAGUGAGCUGUGUUCUCACCAUUACACUCCAGCCCCUGUCUCUGAGAAAAAAACAACAAAAAAAGAAUUUGUGACUUGGACUAGUUUUAUUUCCUGUGGAACUCCUAACUAGCCUGCUCAGAAAUUAUGCUUUUGAUUUUGGCCUCAUCAGCAUCUAACAUAAUGUUCUGGUCAGCUGAUAUAACACACUUAAUGUUGCUGGCAAAUGCUGCACUUAAUUCAUUAUAGGGCUUUUAAGCUACGUAGUAAAAGCAUAAAAUUUCUAAUCAAGUAUUAGUAGCUAUCCAUCCUGCCUGUAUGUAUUCUCCUUGUGAUUUAAAAUCAUUGAUAAGCCACAGUAUAACUUCUUAAAAUUUUACUUUGUAGAAAAUUUUAAAAUUUUGAAUAUAUAAAGAAGUAUGCAGAUGUCCUCAAAAUCUUACUACUUGGAUGCUACAAAGAUGGCAACAAAACUACCAACGUGAAAACUUGGAAUAAAAAUGAUUUUAGGCCUCAGUGUAAACGAACAAACUUAGUGGCAAAUGAUGGAAAAAAUUCCUGUCCAAUGAGUUUGGGAGCUCAGCAAC